rnacentral:rRNA from 1 species
AUUAGAGUUUGAUCCUGGCUCAGAUUGAACGCUGGCGGCAUGCCUUACACAUGCAAGUCGAACGGUAACAGGUCUUCGGAUGCUGACGAGUGGCGAACGGGUGAGUAAUACAUCGGAACGUGCCCGAUCGUGGGGGAUAACGGAGCGAAAGCUUUGCUAAUACCGCAUACGAUCUACGGAUGAAAGCGGGGGAUCUUCGGACCUCGCGCGGACGGAGCGGCCGAUGGCAGAUUAGGUAGUUGGUGGGAUAAAAGCUUACCAAGCCGACGAUCUGUAGCUGGUCUGAGAGGAUGAUCAGCCACACUGGGACUGAGACACGGCCCAGACUCCUACGGGAGGCAGCAGUAAGGAAUAUUGGUCAAUGGACGCAAGUCUGAACCAGCCAUGCCGCGUGAAGGAUGAAGGUCCUCUGGAUUGUAAACUUCUUUUAUCUGGGACGAAAGAAGGGCUUUCUAGCUCACUUGACGGUACCAGAGGAAUAAGCACCGGCUAACUCCGUGCCAGCAGCCGCGGUAAUAAU